CUUUAUUUGCGCAAAUAAUUUAGCGGAACGAAACCCUUGUUGAAAACACAUAACAAUAAGUUCGUUUUCCUUUUCUGUCAAAACUCCGUAAUAUUUAUCGAUCACCUUACUAAUGAAAUGGACCCGUCCAAACGUAGUAGAUGCCAAGUCGGUCCAGAUGAAGAGAUAUUUACAAUUUGGAAUUUUCUAGUUUAUUAAUACAUAGAUUGAAAAAAAGUACGUCUUUUUAAAUAUCAUGAUCAAAACUGGGUUUGCAUAACAAAUGUCAGAUGAAACCAUUAUCCUCGUCUUUUCAGUGAACAAGUCUACUACGUUUGUUGACACUCGAAGGUCCACCG
rnacentral:lncRNA from 1 species